rnacentral:misc_RNA from 1 species
UUGGAGGGCAAGUCUGGUGCCAGCAGCCGCGGUAAUUCCAGCUCCAAUAGCGUAUAUUAAAGUUGUUGCAGUUAAAAAGCUCGUAGUUGAAUUUCGGGAUUUAUCCGUUGGUCGGGCUUUUGGGUCUGUACUGGCGUGAUGGAUUCCUACCUUCUGAAUAACCAGCAUGCCAUUAAUUUGGUGCGUUGGGGAAGCAGGACUGUUACCUUGAAAAAAUUAGAGUGCUUAAAGCAGGCUAUUGCCUGAAUACAUUAGCAUGGAAUAAUGAAAUAGGACGCAUGGUUCUAUUUUGUUGGUUUCUAGGAUCACCGUAAUGAUUAAUAGGGAUAGUUGGG